AAGUUGGCCUGAGCCUGGGAGCAGGAAGGAGGUGUUCUUUCUGCCUGCCACAGGAGCCUGCGUGCCACUGUAGCAUUGUGACCAGCAGGUGACUUCAUUAGCAAGCACACGUGACCCUUAAUGCAUUGGGGAAAUGAGAACCCCUUGUGUGGCUUCUAUCCUGGUUUUGCUUGUUGAACUGUGAAAACUUAUGGUUCUAGGCAAGGCUCCUCUUACUCCUUAUCCACCCUCUAUACAUUUUUUUUCUGCAUCCUAACAAACACAAGCAACUUGGUGAUGACUCUGAAAAUCUGAACACUCCAGCCAUUCUGCUAAUAUCUGUGAAAACUAUAUAUGCCUGACCCAGCUUCAGCCUCACAGCCACGUGUGGAAGCGCCACCCCAAGCAGGAGCUUCCAAUUCACUGCAACCCA
rnacentral:lncRNA from 7 species